UAUGCACAUUUUAUUUUACAGCGAAAUCAACAUGUUUAUAGCAAUAUAUGUUGUUCUCUUCUCUCUGGUUGCUGAAGCUGUUCUGGGAGUGUCUUUGGAGCAAAAAGAUCUCUCUGUGACUAAAGAAGAGGGCAAAAGUGUGUAUAUCAGCUGUAAAGUGACCGGAUUAAGAACUGAUUAUGUCCACUGGUACCAAAAGAAAGAAGAUGAAGCUCUUAAAAGGAUCCUGUAUGUAAAAACAAAUAGCAAACCUGUUCCUGAGACCAACCAUCCUGAUGUGAAGGACUUCACUGUGCUGACACAGAAUGAUAAUUUUGACCUGAAAAUAUCAAAUGUGAAGAAAACUCACACAGGGGUUUAUUACUGUGCCAGCUGGGAGUACAGCAGUGAUGCACAUUGAUAGUUAUUAUUCACACUGUGUACAAAAACCAUGAUAGUACACACCCACUACAGGAAAUGAUAUUUACAUGGUAUGAAGAAAAAUGUAAAAACACACACGUCAAACUCUGCAGGAGCCUUAAACUAAAUGAAUUCAAACACUAAAGACUUAAAUAUUCUGACUAAAUUACCAUGUCUAAAAGAAUCAACAUCUGUAAACUUAAAAAUAAAUUUUUAUUGUGAAUAGAUAA